rnacentral:tRNA from 1 species
GUCCAUGUAGCUUACAAUAAAGCAUGACAC